rnacentral:rRNA from 1 species
CCUACGGGUGGCUGCAGUGAGGAAUAUUGGUCAAUGGACGAGAGUCUGAACCAGCCAAGUAGCGUGAAGGAUGACUGCCCUAUGGGUUGUAAACCUCUUUUAUCUGGGAAUAAAACCCUCCACGCGUGCGUUUCUGCGUGUACCCUAUGAAUAAGCAUCGGCUAACUCCGUGCCAGCAGCCGCGGUAAUACGGAGGAUCCGAGCGUUAUCCGGAUUUAUUGGGUUUAAAGGGUGCGUAGGUGGUUUGUUAAGUCAGUUGUGAAAGUUUGCGGCUCAACCGUAGAAGUGCAGUUGAAACUGGCAGUCUUGAGUACGGUAGAGGUAGGCGGAAUUCGUGGUGUAGCGGUGAAAUGCUUAGAUAUCGCGAAGAACUCCGAUUGCGAAGGCAGCGCACUGGACUGAAACUGACACUGAGGCUCGAAAGUGUGGGUAUCGAACAGGAUUAGAUACCCAGGUAGUC